rnacentral:rRNA from 1 species
GACGAACGCUGACGGCGUGCUUAACACAUGCAAGUCGCAGGGAGUGGCGAACGGGUGAGUAACACGUGAGUAACCUGCCCUUUUCUUUGGGAUACGCCUGGGAAACUGGGUCUAAUACUGGAUGGAUUGGGAUGGGCUCGGGGCUUAUCAGCGUGGUGGUGGGGUGUUGGCUUACCAAGGCUUUGUCGGGUAGCCGGCAUGAGAGGGUGAUCGGUGACACUGGGACUGAGAUACGGCCCAGGCUCCUACGGGAGGGAGCAGUGGGAGAUAUUGCACAAUGGACGAAAGUCUGAUGCAGCGACGUCGUGUGGGGGAUGAGGGCCUUCGGGUUGUAAACUCCUUUCGCCCGCGGAAUGGUAGUGGGUAAAGAAGCGCCGGCUAACUACGUGCCAGCAGCCGCGGUAAUUC